UACAGAGGGUGCAAGCGUUGUUCGGAAUUACUGGGCGUAAAGCGCGUGUAGGUGGCGGCGUAAGUCAGAUGUGAAAGCCCUCGGCUCAACCGAGGAAGUGCAUCUGAUACUGCGUCGCUUGAGUACUGGAGGGGAUGGUGGAAUUCCCGGUGUAGAGGUGAAAUUCGUAGAUAUCGGGAGGAACACCUGUGGCGAAGGCGACCAUCUGGACAGUCACUGACACUGAGACGCGAAAGCGUGGGUAGCAAACAGG
rnacentral:rRNA from 1 species